rnacentral:rRNA from 1 species
AAAUCCGGUUGAUCCUGCCGGAGGCUACCGCUAUUGGAGUUCGAUUAAGCCAUGCGAGUCGUGAGUCUUAGGGACUCGGCGUACCGCUCAGUAACACGUGGGUAACCUGCCCUAUGCUGGGGAAUAACCUCGGGAAACUGAGAACAAUGCCCCAUAGUUCACCACGCCUGGAACGGUGGGUGGAUCAAAGCCCCGGCGGCAUAGGAUGGGCCUGCGGCGUAUCAGGUUGUAGGGGGUGUAAAGUACCCUCUAGCCCUCUACGCGUACGGGUGUUGGGAGACAUAGCCCGGAGAUGGAUUCUGAGACACGAAUCCAGACCCUACGGGGUGCAGCAGGCGCGAAAACUUGGCAAUGCGAGAAAUCGUGACCAGGGAACUCCAAGUGCAUCGGGUAAGACCGAUGCUUUUCUUGACUCUUCAAAGGUCUUGGAAUAAGGGGUGGGUAAGGACGGUGCCAGCCGCCGCGGUAAUACCGGCGCC